rnacentral:tmRNA from 1 species
GGCCUUUCAUUUCCGCCAAACGCCCCCUAUAUUCGUUUUGUCGGCUUGACCGACUAUGGCGAUAAAUGGGCGAUGAAAUAAGCCGUUCGGACCCGGGGGCGGUACCCGGCGCCUCCACCAAAAGCCNNNNNNNNNNUUGUACCACCGUCAUCGGGCUAAACUUAUAGUUGCCAACGACAACUAUGCGGAAGCACGUCUCGCUGCUUAAUGCAGUGCGAUAGCUUCAAAUCAAGCCCUAGGGGUUCGCACUUCUAGGCGGGGUUCGGAGGUACCUGGCAACAGAAACCUCCACU